rnacentral:lncRNA from 1 species
CAGCCAAACCUUUGGAGGCCUCAACCUGAGAGACUAGAAAUAAAGAGUGAAGUCAGGGAAACAGAAGAGGAGUGGAUCCAGGGAGAGGAGAUGUAGGUGGAUCUGGGAGGAUUGCAGAAAAGGAAACUGCAUCCAGGAUUGGGAACAAACACUGCUGGAAAGGUAUUAGAUGUCCAAGGAAAGAGCCAAGUCCAGUUACACAUGAUGAUCCCUACAUGAUCUUUGGGAACGUUUUUUAUUCCAUGGUCUUCUGUUGUCUUAAGUACUUCAGAUGUAGACUAGAAAAGACAAACAAUCUCCUGAAAAUAUCUCUACAGAAAGAGCUUUCUCCCAGAAC